rnacentral:rRNA from 1 species
UUCGGUGAUUUGUGCGGUGUGGAACCACCUCUUCCCAUUCCGAACAGAGAAGUGAAACGCGCCAGCGCCUACGAUACUUUAUAAAAAGGGAAAAUAGGUCAUCGCCGGGG